GUAGGUGGCAAGCGUUGUCCGGAAUUAUUGGGCGUAAAGCGCGCGCAGGCGGUUCUUUAAGUCUGAUGUGAAAGCCCACGGCUCAACCGUGGAGGGUCAUUGGAAACUGGAGAACUUGAGUACAGAAGAGGAAAGCGGAAUUCCACGUGUAGCGGUGAAAUGCGUAGAGAUGUGGAGGAACACCAGUGGCGAAGGCGGCUUUCUGGUCUGUAACUGACGCUGAGGCGCGAAAGCGUAGGGAGCAAACAGGGAUUAGAUACCCUGGUAGUCCACGCCGUAAACGAUGAGUGCUAAGUGUUAGGGGGUUUCCGCCCCCUUAGUGCUGCAGCUAACGCAUUAAGCACUCCGCCUGGGGAGUACGGCCGCAAGGCUG
rnacentral:rRNA from 1 species